GAUGAACGCUAGCGGCAGGCCUAAUACAUGCAAGUCGGACGGGAUUGAGAAGCUUGCUUUUCAUGAGAGUGGCGCACGGGUGCGUAACACGUAUGUAACCUACCUUAAUCAGGGGGAUAGCCUCUCGAAAGAGAGAUUAACACCGCAUAAAAUCAAUUUAUGGCAUCAUAGAAUGAUCAAAUAUUUAUAGGAUUAAGAUGGGCAUGCGGAACAUUAGCUAGUUGGUAAGGUAACGGCUUACCAAGGCUACGAUGUUUAGGGGAUCUGAGGGGAUGACCCCCCACACUGGUACUGAGACACGGACCAGACUCCUACGGGAGGCAGCAGUAAGGAAUAUUGGUCAAUGGGCGCAAGCCUGAACCAGCCAUGCCGCGUGCAGGAAGACGGCCCUACGGGUUGUAAACUGCUUUUGUACCGGAAUAAACCUUUGUAUGUAUACGAAGCUGAAUGUACGGUAAGAAUAAGGAUCGGCUAACUCCGUGCCAGCAGCCGCCGCCG
rnacentral:rRNA from 1 species